rnacentral:lncRNA from 1 species
GCCAACGCGUUAACACUGAGGCUAGCCCAGCCGAACAAGGGAGCGACUGCGUAGUGCUGCCAUUUUUUCGUCUACUAACCCUCCUCGAGUGGACACUCCUCAAUUCCGCUUGGCGGUGCGACAGUCUACGGGCAUUGCGAAUAGGCGUUAUAAGUUUCCGCG